rnacentral:rRNA from 1 species
AACGAACGCUGGCGGCAUGCCUAACACAUGCAAGUCGAACGAGACCUUCGGGUCUAGUGGCGCACGGGUGCGUAACGCGUGGGAAUCUGCCCUGGGGUGCGGAAUAACUCGGAGAAAUCCGUGCUAAUACCGCAUAAUGUCUUCGGACCAAAGAUUUAUCGCCCUGGGAUGAGCCCGCGUAGGAUUAGCUAGUUGGUGGGGUAAAGGCCUACCAAGGCGACGAUCCUUAGCUGGUCUGAGAGGAUGAUCAGCCACACUGGGACUGAGACACGGCCCAGACUCCUACGGGAGGCAGCAGUGGGGAAUAUUGGACAAUGGGCGAAAGCCUGAUCCAGCAAUGCCGCGUGAGUGAUGAAGGCCCUAGGGUUGUAAAGCUCUUUUACCCGGGAUGAUAAUGACAGUACCGGGAGAAUAAGCUCCGGCUAACUCCGUGCCAGCAGCCGCGGU